GAUGAACGCUGGCGGCGUGCCUAAUACAUGCAAGUCGAGCGAACAGACGAGGAGCUUGCUCCUCUGACGUUAGCGGCGGACGGGUGAGUAACACGUGGAUAACCUACCUAUAAGACUGGGAUAACUUCGGGAAACCGGAGCUAAUACCGGAUAAUAUAUUGAACCGCAUGGUUCAAUAGUGAAAGACGGUUUUGCUGUCACUUAUCGAUGGAUCCGCGCCGCAUUAGCUAGUUGGUAAGGUAACGGCUUACCAAGGCAACGAUGCGUAGCCGACCUGAGAGGCUGAUCGGCCACACUGGAACUGAGACACGGUCCAGACUCCUACGGGAGGCAGCAGUAGGGAAUCUUCCGCAAUGGGCGAAAGCCUGACGGAGCAACGCCGCGUGAGUGAUGAAGGUCUUCGGAUCGUAAAACUCUGCUAUUAGGGAAGAACAAAUGUGUAAGUAACUAUGCACGUCUUGACGGUACCUAAUCAGAAAGCCACGGCUAACUACGUG
rnacentral:rRNA from 1 species